GGUGGGAUGACGUCAAGUCCUCAUGGCCCUUAUAGGUGGGGCUACACACGUCAUACAAUGGCUGGUACAAAGGGUUGCCAACCCGCGAGGGGGAGCUAAUCCCAUAAAGCCAGUCGUAGUCCGGAUCGUAGUCUGCAACUCGACUGCGUGAAGUCGGAAUCGCUAGUAAUCGUGGAUCAGAAUGUCACGGUGAAUACGUUCCCGGGUCUU
rnacentral:rRNA from 1 species